UUAGGAAUCUUCCACAAUGGGCGAAAGCCUGAUGGAGCGACGCCGCGUGAGGGAAGAAGGUUCUCGGAUCGUAAACCUCUGAACCAACGACGAAAGACCCGACAAGGGAGAUGACGGUAGUUGGGUAAUAGCACCGGCUAACUCCGUGCCAGCAGCCGCGGUAAUACGGAGGGUGCAAGCGUUACCCGGAAUCACUGGGCGUAAAGGGCGUGUAGGCGGCCACUUAAGUCCGAUUUUAAAGACCGAAGC
rnacentral:rRNA from 1 species